AUGGCGCCGGGGAGGAGGCAGAGCGGCAGGACGGGUUCUGUCAUGCUGGGUGGAGCGGCGGCCGGAACGGGUCACCGGCGUGAGAGGGUGGGGUCCUUUCGUUUGGCCAGCUAUUGCAAGAUAAGUACCGUUGAAAUAGAACUUCAUUGUUGCUGCCUCCAGUUCAAAAAUAACAAGGUACAUGUAGAUUGA
rnacentral:rRNA from 1 species